rnacentral:rRNA from 1 species
AGAGUUUGAUCAUGGCUCAGAAUCAACGCUGGCGGCGCGCUUAACACAUGCAAGUCGCACGAGAAAGCAGGAGCAAUCUUGUGAGUAAAGUGGCGUACGGGUGAGUAACACGUGGAUCAUCUACCUUCUAGUGGGGCAUACCUCUGGGAAACCGGAGAUAAUUCCGCAUAAGCUCGUGAGAGGAAAGCAGCAAUGCGCUGGAAGAGGAGUCCGCGGCUGAUUAGCUAGAUGGCGGGGUAACGGCCCACCAUGGCGAAGAUCGGUAGCCGGCCUGAGAGGGCACACGGCCACACUGGCACUGAAACACGGGCCAGACUCCUACGGGAGGCAGCAGUGGGGAAUCUUGCACAAUGGAGGCAACUCUGAUGCAGCGACGCCGCGUGAGCGAUGAAGCCCUUCGGGGUGUAAAGCUCUUUCGACGGGAAAGAUUAUGACGGUACCCGGAGAAGAAGCUGCGGCUAACUACGUGCCAGCAGCCGCGGUAAUACGUAGGCAGCGAGCGUUGUUCGGAAUUACUGGGCGUAAAGAGUGUGUAGGCGGUGUUCCAAGUCUGGUGUGAAAUCUCCCGGCUUAACUGGGAGGGUGCGCCGGAAACUGGAAUGCUCGAGGGUGGGAGAGGUAAGCGGAAUUCCUGGUGUAGCGGUGAAAUGCGUAGAUAUCAGGAGGAACACCUGUGGUGUAGACAGCUUACUGGACCACUUCUGACGCUGAGACACGAAAGCGUGGGUAGCAAACAGGAUUAGAUACCCUCGUAGUCC